CCUUAUUUGUUAAAACCAAACUUAAAGAGUUAAUUAAACCAUUAAAAAUCAAUUAAAAUCAAAUAAAAUCAUGAUUUGGACCAAACCAAACCCGAUUCGAACCAAAUCAUUCACAAAAACCUAAACAAAAUCAUCUAGAAGCCUCUCCCCCUUUAGCGCCGACCUCAGCCCCUCCCCUUUCUUUUUCUUUCGUUUUCCGGUCACCUGAAGCCAGCGUCGGUUUCGCCUCACCGGCCAUUGCCUCCCUGCCACAUUGCCACCUCACCAAAGCUCCCGACUCUCUUCCUCUUUCUCCUUUCGUUUUUGGCGAAUUCAGUAGCCACAGGAGAGCUUCGACUUCGUUCGAUUGGGAAAUUGCAUCUCCUCUGCAACUUUUCGGGGACUCUAAUACCCACGAUCAGCGACGAAGCUCCAAUCUCUCCCUUUCUCGCUCUCUCUCUCUCUCUUCUGUUUUCGGUUGGUGCAACAAAAUGAAGUGCUGCGAUUGCGAUCUGUCAUGAUUGGGAUAGUCGACUCGUCUUUCCUCUUUGCUUUUUCCAACGUAACCUGUCAAAGACCUGCCGGUUACAAUUUCCAACAUCUCCAGUAAUUCCAUUAGCCACCGUUCUCCUUAGCUUCGGCCAAGUUAUCGCCAGCAGAAUCAACUUUGGGCGUUUGAGCUGUUUUCGGUUAUUUUAAUUGGAAAAUAAUCAACUUCUGAUGUAAUUUUUAGCUAGGUAACUGAUAUUUGGUCCCUAUUUUGCUAUAUUUUAUUUAUUACAUAAUUUAUUGAAAAACUUUUGAUGAAUUUUGGAUGAGAAGAGCUAGAUUCUUGUAAUGCAGUUAACAUGGGUUUAAGUUAAAGAAAGCUUGAUUCUAUCUAUCAA
rnacentral:lncRNA from 1 species